CACCCCCAGUUUGGUCCCCACCCCCGCCAUCUCCUCCACCGCCACCCCCAGUGCGGUCUCCACCACCACCUCCACCACGAGGGCGGUCUCCACCACCACCUCCACCACGAGGCAGUAGACCACCCGUGAGGCCGCCUCCGCCUCGGCGAGGAGGGAGGAUAUAGCCUCCAUGCUCUCACACAGCUCGGAAAAAUGACGAAUAACAUGAAGAAAUAAAUGAAGAGAUCUAUGAAGACCUCAUCUAAUAAUUAAUGCAGAGAAUUAGAAAGCGAUCGUGAGUAUAUCCUAUUUACACUCUGUACUUAUCGGAAUAAAGGGGAAUAAAAAGUAAAUCUUAUGUUUUGUGAUAAUUGUAAGACAGAUCGAACUGCGGAUAUAAGAGGGAGGUACUCCAUGUCUUUAUGAUCAUCAACCCUCUUGUAAUAACAAAGAAAUAGAAUAUCAUAUCA